rnacentral:rRNA from 1 species
UGAGGAAUCUGUCCAUCGGCGGGGGAUAGCCGGCCCAACGGCCGGGUAAUACCGCGUACGUCGGCGGGAGCGCAUGCUCCUGCCGGGAAAGCAGCAAUGCACCGAUGGAGGAUCUCGCGGCCUAUCAGCUUGUUGGUGAGGUCACGGCUCACCAAGGCGACGACGGGUAGCUGGUCUGAGAGGAUGAUCAGCCACAGUUGGGACUGGAGACACCGGCA